GUAGUCAUAUGCUUGUCUCAAAGAUUAAGCCAUGCAUGUCUAAGUAUAAGCAAUCUAUACAGUGAAACUGCGAAUGGCUCAUUAAAUCAGUUAUCGUUUAUUUGAUAGUACCUUACUACUUGGAUAACCGUGGUAAUUCUAGAGCUAAUACAUGCUAAAAAUCCCGACCUCUGGAAGGGAUGUAUUUAUUAGAUAAAAAACCAAUGCCUUCGGGCUCCUUGGUGAUUCAUGAUAACUUUACGAAUCGCAUGGCCUUGUGCCGGCGAUGGUUCAUUCAAAUUUCUGCCCUAUCAACUUUCGAUGGUAGGAUAGUGGCCUACCAUAGUUUCAACGGGUAACGGGGAAU
rnacentral:rRNA from 1 species